AGAGUUUGAUCCUGGCUCAGGACGAACGCUGGCGGCGCGCCUAACACAUGCAAGUCGAACGGAGCUUAAAGAGCUUGCUUUUUAAGCUUAGUGGCGAACGGGUGAGUAACGCGUGAGUAACCUGCCCUGGAGUGGGGGACAACAGUUGGAAACGACUGCUAAUACCGCAUAAGCCCACGGAUCCGCAUGGAUCUGCGGGAAAAGGAUUUAUUCGCUCUAGGAUGGACUCGCGUCCAAUUAGCUAGUUGGUGAGGUAACGGCCCACCAAGGCGACGAUUGGUAGCCGGACUGAGAGGUUGAACGGCCACAUUGGGACUGAGACACGGCCCAGACUCCUACGGGAGGCAGCAGUGGGGGAUAUUGCACAAUGGGGGAAACCCUGAUGCAGCGACGCCGCGUGGAGGAAGAAGGUUUUCGGAUUGUAAACUCCUGUCGUUAGGGACGAUAAUGACGGUACCUAACAAGAAAGCACCGGCUAACUACGUGCCAGCAGCCGCGGUAAAACGUAGGGUGCAAGCGUUGUCCGGAAUUACUGGGUGUAAAGGGAGCGCAGGCGGGAAGACAAGUUGGAAGUGAAAACCAUGGGCUCAACCCAUGAAUUGCUUUCAAAACUGUUUUUCUUGAGUAGUGCAGAGGUAGAUGGAAUUCCCGGUGUAGCGGUGGAAUGCGUAGAUAUCGGGAGGAACACCAGUGGCGAAGGCGGUCUACUGGGCACCAACUGACGCUGAGGCUCGAAAGCAUGGGUAGCAAACAGGAUUAGAUACCCUGGUAGUCCAUGCCGUAAACGAUGAUUACUAGGUGUUGGAGGAUUGACCCCUUCAGUGCCGCAGUUAACACAAUAAGUAAUCCACCUGGGGAGUACGACCGCAAGGUUGAAACUCAAAGGAAUUGACGGGGGCCCGCACAAGCAGUGGAGUAUGUGGUUUAAUUCGAAGCAACGCGAAGAACCUUACCAGGUCUUGACAUCCGAU
rnacentral:rRNA from 1 species